UUUCCAUUUGUAUUACACUAUUUUCAUAAACCUUCCUAACGAAAUCGGAUAUGUAUAAUACAGCGUCCAGCGAAGAAAUAUCGUCGGAGGAUAUGGUAGAAUAUGGGCGAGAAACCGACGAAGAAGACAUCCCCGAGGACAAAGACGAAGCCGCCGAUAUCGAUGAAGAAGAAGAAUAAAAUGGACCGGAUGAGUCGGAGUCGGAGCAAAUUUUUCCAAAUUUUUUUUCCAAUUUUUUGUUGUAAAUGUAAAUUUUAU